UGGCCUGCUAAGGACUGGGAGCUAGAGUCUAUCCAUACCUGUGACGUUUUAGAGAUGAUAAAGGAACAUGUCUCUACUGUCAUUGGCCUACGAUCAGAUUCUAGUGUCACUGAUACUUGGGCGACGACAGAAAUUCAGCAGGUACACCUUGGUCAGCUGUAUGCUUCCUCCAUCUUAUAUGGAUACUUUCUGAAGUCUGCUUCAGUAAGGCAUCAAUUGGAUCGAUCUCUAGCUCUACCUCGACAGGAUCUCCAUGUUGCUCAACGAUCAAGCCUUCAGCAUUCGACAGGAUCUUCAUAUCGCUCAACUAUCAAGCCUUCAGUAUUUGGUCAUGGAUCAUCUAAACAGGAAGCUGCUGGUCAAAGUGUGAGGUCGUACGUGAUGGGAUUCGAUGCUGAAUCACUACAGAGAUGUGCGAGGUUGAAGUCAAAGGAGGCUUUGAACUUGAUUGAGAAGUACAGUUGUGCACUUUUCGGGGAUGAGAAGACGGGUCUGGUGGCAAGCGACGAGACUAUUGUGACGUCAUUUGCUAGCCUGAGGAGAUUGGUGUUGGAAGCAGCAGCUUUUGGUACUUUCCUGUGGGACACGGAAGAAUAUGUCAAUUCUGUAUAUACGCUCAAGGAAAACAACUGAAGAAGAU
rnacentral:lncRNA from 1 species